UAGGGAAUCUUCGGCAAUGGGGGGAACCCUGACCGAGCAACGCCGCGUGAGUGAAGAAGGUUUUCGGAUCGUAAAACUCUGUUGUUAAGGAAGAACGAGUGUGAGAAUGGAAAGUUCAUACUGUGACGGUACUUAACCAGAAAGGGACGGCUAACUACGUGCCAGCAGCCGCGGUAAUACGUAGGUCCCGAGCGUUGUCCGGAUUUAUUGGGCGUAAAGCGAGCGCAGGCGGUUAGAAAAGUCUGAAGUGAAAGGCAGUGGCUCAACCAUUGUAGGCUUUGGAAACUGUUUAACUUGAGUGCAGAAGGGGAGAGUGGAAUUCCAUGUGUAGCGGUGAAAUGCGUAGAUAUAUGGAGGAACACCGGUGGCGAAAGCGGCUCUCUGGUCUGUAACUGACGCUGAGGCUCGAAAGCGUGGGGAGCGAACAGGAUUAGAUACCCUGGUAGUCCACGCCGUAAACGAUGAGUGCUAGGUGUUAGGCCCUUUCCGGGGCUUAGUGCCGCAGCUAACGCAUUAAGCACUCCGCCUGGGGAGUACGACCGCAAGGUUG
rnacentral:rRNA from 1 species